AGUGAACGCUGGCGGCAGGCCUAACACAUGCAAGUCGAGCGGCAGCGGGUCCUUCGGGAUGCCGGCGAGCGGCGGACGGGUGAGGAAUGCAUCGGAAUCUGCCCUGUCGUGGGGGAUAACCUAGGGAAACUUAGGCUAAUACCGCAUACGACCCACGGGUGAAAGCGGGGGAUCGCAAGACCUCGCGCGAUAGGAUGAGCCGAUGUCCGAUUAGCUAGUUGGCGGGGUAAAGGCCUACCAAGGCGACGAUCGGUAGCUGGUCUGAGAGGAUGAUCUGCCACACUGGGACUGAGACACGGCCCAGACUCCUACGGGAGGCAGCAGUGGGGAAUAUUGGACAAAGGGCGCAAGCCUGAUCCAGCCAUGCCGCGUGGGUGAAGAAGGCCUUCGGGUUGUAAAGCCCUUUUGUCCGGGAAGAAAACGUCUGGGCUAAUACCCCGGGCGGAUGACGGUACCGGAAGAAUAAGCACCGGCUAACUUCGUG
rnacentral:rRNA from 1 species